UACAGAGGGUGCAAGCGUUAAUCGGAUUCAUUGGGCGUAAAGGGUGCGUAGGCGGCGCGGUAAGUCGGGUGUGAAAUCUUGGAGCUUAACUCCGAAACUGCAUUCGAUACUGCCGUGCUUGAGGACUGGAGAGGAGACUGGAAUUUACGGUGUAGCGGUGAAAUGCGUAGAUAUCGUAAGGAAGACCAGUGGCGAAGGCGGGUCUCUGGACAGUUCCUGACGCUGAGGCACGAAGGCCAGGGGAGCAAACGGG
rnacentral:rRNA from 1 species